rnacentral:rRNA from 1 species
UGGGGAAUAUUGCACAAUGGGCGAAAGCCUGAUGCAGCGACGCCGCGUGAGGGAUGACGGCCUUCGGGUUGUAAACCUCUUUCAGUAGGGACGAAGCGCAAGUGACGGUACCUGCAGAAGAAGCACCGGCUAACUACGUGCCAGCAGCCGCGGUAAUACGUAGGGUGCGAGCGUUGUCCGGAAUUACUGGGCGUAAAGAGCUCGUAGGCGGUUUGUCACGUCGUCUGUGAAAUCCUAGGGCUUAACCCUGGACGUGCAGGCGAUACGGGCUGACUUGAGUACUACAGGGGAGACUGGAAUUUCUGGUGUAGCGGUGGAAUGCACAGAUAUCAGGAAGAACACCGAUGGCGAAGGCAGGUCUCUGGGUAGUAACUGACGCUUAGGAGCGAAAGCAUGGGUAGCGAACAGG